GCGGGAGUAGCUCAGUUUGGUAGAGCGCCGGCCUUCCAAGCCGGCGGUCGCGGGUUCGAGUCCCGUCUCCCGCU
rnacentral:tRNA from 1 species